rnacentral:rRNA from 1 species
AUUGAACGCUGGCGGCAUGCCUUACACAUGCAAGUCGAACGGUAACGGGCCUUCGGGUGCCGACGAGUGGCGAACGGGUGAGUAAUACAUCGGAACGUGCCCGAUCGUGGGGGAUAACGAGGCGAAAGCUUUGCUAAUACCGCAUACGAUCUACGGAUGAAAGCAGGGGACCGCAAGGCCUUGCGCGGACGGAGCGGCCGAUGGCAGAUUAGGUAGUUGGUGGGAUAAAAGCUUACCAAGCCGACGAUCUGUAGCUGGUCUGAGAGGAUGAUCAGCCACACUGGGACUGAGACACGGCCCAGACUCCUACGGGAGGCAGCAGUGGGGAAUUUUGGGCAAUGGGCGCAAGCCUGAUCCAGCCAUGCCGCGUGCAGGAUGAAGGCCUUCGGGUUGUAAACUGCUUUUGUACGGAACGAAAAGCAUUCUUUUAAUACAGGAGGGUCAUGACGGUACCGUAAGAAUAAGCACCGGCUAACUACGUG